UACGAAGGGGGCUAGCGUUGCUCGGAAUGACUGGGCGUAAAGGGCGCGUAGGCGGCGUUUUAAGUCAGAGGUGAAAUCCCGGAGCUCAACUCCGGAACUGCCUUUGAUACUGGCAAGCUAGAGUCCGGAAGAGGUAAGUGGAACUCCUAGUGUAGAGGUGGAAUUCGUAGAUAUUAGGAAGAACACCAGUGGCGAAGGCGGCUUACUGGUCCGGAACUGACGCUGAGGUGCGAAAGCGUGGGGAGCAAACAGG
rnacentral:rRNA from 1 species